UAGAUUUGAUCAUUUUGUCUCCAUAAUUGUUUUUCCUCCGCUUAG
rnacentral:sRNA from 1 species